UACGGAGGGUGCAAGCGUUGUUCGGAAUUACUGGGCGUAAAGCGCGUGUAGGCGGCCUGCUAAGUCCGAUGUGAAAUCCCGGGGCUCACCCCCGGAAGUGCAUCGGAUACUGGUGAGCUAGAGUACCGGAGAGGAGGACGGAAUUCCUGGUGUAGCGGUGAAAUGCGUAGAUAUCAGGAGGAACACCGAUGGCGAAGGCAGGUCUCUGGGCAUUAACUGACGCUGAGGAGCGAAAGCAUGGGGAGCGAACAGG
rnacentral:rRNA from 1 species